GGAUAAAGUACUUGAGGUGUAAUUUUGUAUAGAUAGUGUGCAAAUAAUGCCUAUUUCAGAAAAGAAUAUCUUUUAAACCCUAGAAGAUGUACAAAAACUUAAUACAUAAUUCAAGUGAACAUGGAAGGCUUAAUAAAAAUUUACUUUAAUAUUUUUGUGCAAACGAAGUAUUGAAAAGAUACAAGGUAUUUAAAAUCUAGAAUUUGUCAAGAUUCUUCAAAUGAGUUAUCUCCCUUUGCAAUUUUACAUAGGUGGCGCUAGUAAAAAAAAUGGCAGCUUCCAUGGUUAGCUGUACGCUGCAAAGUUAUUUUGAUGCAUCCUGUGAUGUUUAUUGCAAAAAUAUGUGUGAAUUGACAUAAAUUGGUUGAAAGGAUUCUACAAGAACAGAUUAGGCAUAGUUUUCGGGCAAAAAUAUAGCUAUAUCUCGUGUUGAUUAGUAUAUUGACCUUGUUGACGUUCUAUCGAAAUGGUACUCGCCUACUGACACCGUUGUGAUCUAUCUCAGAAGUUUCAAUUCUACGGUAAUCCACCAGAGUCCAAGAGUAAACUCUCAGAGAGGGAUGGCAGUCCGAUUUUGUCUGCUUACUCGACUUGGAGAGGGAAGAUAAUUUACAUUUGGACAGUUACAUUUGACCAGAAUGUAUGCAAUGGGCUGCAUCAUGGUUUUGAAGGAAAAGGUUACACUAUUUAUUACAGACAGCAAGAAAACAUCAUUGAACACCACCAACUAAUAAGACUCCAAAGGAAUAAUGGAAAAUAAGAUAUUUAAAGCUGUCAAAAAGCAGAGAUUAGACUUCGGUGGAUUCCAUGACGGUACUUUGGAUAAUGUUAAUCAGACAGCAAUUCUUUUCCCAAGGAUCUUAAGUGCUUU